rnacentral:rRNA from 1 species
GAGUUUGAUUCUGGCUCAGGACAAACGCUGGCGGCGUGCAUAACACAUGCAAGUCGAACGAAAUCUACAUGAUUUAGUGGCGAACGGGUGAGUAACACGUGAGAAACCUGCCUUACACAGAGGGAUAGCCGUUGGAAACGACGAUUAAUACCUCAUGACACCGUGACAUCGCAUGAUGAUGCGGUCAAAGAUUUAUCGGUGUAAGAUGGUCUCGCGCCUGAUUAGCUGGUUGGUGGGGUAACGGCCUACCAAGGCGACGAUCAGUAGCCGAUCUGAGAGGGUGGACGGCCACAUUGGGACUGAGACACGGCCCAAACUCCUACGGGAGGCAGCAGUGGGGAAUUUUGCACAAUGGGGGAAACCCUGAUGCAGCGACGCCGCGUGAACGAAGAAGGCCUUCGGGUUGUAAAGUUCUGUCCUUGGU